rnacentral:lncRNA from 1 species
GUGAAAGCGAAUGCCAUGUUGAUGACAUGAUGACAAAGUCCCAAGCAGAAGAGGGGCAUCCGGUGGAUCUGGGGCAAAUUGUUUGACCAGAUCGAAACUACUCAGACUGAGGUUGAGUCUGAAUCAGUGCACUUAUGGAGUGCUGUCCGGUGAGCUGCCGAGGCUUGUUGGGGGCAAAUCAGAGGAAUCGAGGACGAUCCUGUGAACAAAA